rnacentral:rRNA from 1 species
GACGAACGCUGGCGGCGUGCCUAAUACAUGCAAGUAGAACGCUGAAGAGAGGAGCUUGCUCUUCUUGGAUGAGUUGCGCACGGGUGAGUAACGCGUAGGUAACCUGCCUUGUAGCGGGGGAUAACUAUUGGAAACGAUAGCUAAUACCGCAUAACAUUGGAUGACACAUGUCAUUUAUUUGAAAGGGGCAAUUGCUCCACUACAAGAUGGACUUGCGGUGUAUUAGGUAGUAGGUGAGGUAAUGGCUCACCUAGGCGACGAUACAUAGCCGAACUGAGAGGGUGGUCGGCCACACUGGGAGGGUGACACGGCCCAGACUGCUACAGGAAGGAACAAGAGGGAAUCUUCGGCCAUGGGGGGAACCCUGACCGAGCAACGCCGCGGGAGGGAAGAAGGGUGUCGGAUCGGGAAGCACUGUUGUAAGGCAAUAACCGGUGUGAGAGUGGAAAGUUCACAGUGUGACGGUAGCUGACCAGAAAGCAACGGCUAACUACGUG